UCUCCUGCCGCACUCUCUGUCGUGUCUCUCUCUCUGGAGUAAUCUUCUGUCCUUCCUCGUGUACUACAAUUGAAUUUCCAUUUCUUUUGUGUGCUUCUCUUGGAGAACGGUGGACCCUCGUGUUACUGUUUUAUUUGAUCUUUGCUCUUAAUUGUAGUUUUUACCCUUGUGGUCCCUGAUGGCUUCGCACAGUGAUACUCUGGUGGUGUUCUUUGGGGCAACAGCUGGUGCAAAUGGGGGUAAACUGGGGUCGGAUGAGAGGGAAUUAAUUCUCUUGGUGUGGCAAAUUGUGGAUCUACAUGAGAAGAAGGUGGGCAAACUUCAGCGGCGUCUGGUGAAGCCGGACAGUGUGGAUCUCACAGAGCAGUGUAAGGAGGAGACGAGACUCACUGCAGAGGAACUGUGCAAGGCCGAAGAACCGCUGGAGAGCAUCCUACAACAGUUUCACCAGUCUGUAUCAGCUGAGCUCGAGUCUUUGGGCAGAAGCUCAUACACGCUGUGUGUGGACGGCCCACUGCUUAUCCAACAGGUGCUUCACCCUGAGGCCUCCAAAAAGAAUCUGGUCUUGCCGGAGUGUUUCUACUCGUUUGUGGACUUGAGGAAAGAGUUUCACAAAUGCUGCCCCAACGCAGGCACGGUCAAAGAUCUCACUCUGACCUCCAUGCUGGACUAUGUGUGCGUUCCCGAGGUGGUGGAUCAGGAGGCGGGAGUGAGGGAGGUGAAGAACAUGGUCCUGCUAUUGUUGCACCUCCUGGCUGAACCUUACAAUCACACAUUCUCAGAUUAUGAGGUUGUCAACUACAAGUUUGAAUCCGGAGCGUGCAGUAAAACAGAGGCUGUGGACAGCGAGACGGUCAUCAGAGCCCGCGGGUUGCCAUGGCAGUCUUCUGAUCAGGACAUCGCUCGGUUCUUCAAGGGUCUCAACAUUGCCAAAGGAGGCGUUGCUCUGUGUCUAAACGCUCAAGGCCGGAGGAACGGAGAGGCUCUGGUGCGAUUCAUAAACUCCGAGCACAGAGACAUGGCUCUGGACAGACAUAAACACCACAUGGGCAGCAGAUACAUAGAAGUGUAUAAAGCCACAGGAGAGGAGUUUUUGAAAAUCGCUGGAGGCACAUCCAAUGAGGUUGCUCAGUUUCUUUCUAAAGAGAACCAGAUGAUUAUCCGAAUGCGGGGGCUUCCGUUCACUGCAACUCCUCAGGAUGUUCUGGGUUUCCUGGGGCCGGACAGCCCAGUGACGGACGGGAUGGAGGGACUUCUGUUUGUAAAGUACCCAGAUGGGCGUCCCACCGGGGAUGCGUUCGUUCUCUUUGCCUGUGAAGAAUAUGCCCAAAAUGCCCUGAAGAAGCACAAACAAAUCCUGGGCAAGAGAUACAUCGAGCUGUUUCGCAGUACUGCAGCUGAGGUCCAGCAGGUACUGAACCGCUACAUGUCCACUCCACUGAUCUCCACUCUUCCUCCUUCUCCUGCUCCAAUCAUGUCUUUGCCUGUUAUGGCCACGCCUCCCUUCAUCGCCACUGGCAGCUCACGAGACUGCGUCAGACUGAGAGGUCUGCCCUACACCGCUGCCAUCGAAGAGAUCCUGGAGUUUAUGGGGGAACACACCAUUGACAUCAAACCACACGGAGUGCACAUGGUCCUUAACCAGCAGGGUCGUCCAUCCGGUGACGCCUUUAUACAGAUGAGGUCGGCAGACCGCGCGUUCAUGGUGUCUCAGAAGUGCCACAAGAAGAUGAUGAAGGACCGCUAUGUGGAGGUGUUCCAGUGCUCCACCGAAGAGAUGAGCUUUGUACUGAUGGGGGGAACUCUGAACCGCAGCGGCCUUUCACCACCUCCCUGCAAACUGCCCUGUCUCUCUCCACCUGCCUACGCUGCAUUUCCUGCAACCACAGCUAUGCUUCCCAACGAGGCCACAUUGUAUCAGCCCCCCCUGCUGGCCACUCCAAGAACUCCACAGCCCCCAACACACAGCCCUGGGCCCACUUUAGCCUACUACUCCCCACACCCACAGCUGUACAUGAAUAUGAAUAUGAACUACACUGCCUACUAUCCCAGUCCACCGGUCUCUCCCUCCACUAUGGGUUAUUUUGCAGCCCCACCUGGUUCAGUAGCAGCAGCUGUUGCCGGCCAGCCAACCCCUACCAUCCUGUCCCCUCAACAUGGAGCGCUGGUGCGAAUGCAGGGCCUGCCAUACAAUGCCGGGGUCAAAGACAUCCUCAGCUUCUUUCAAGGAUAUCAGCUGACGCCUGAGUAGGCGGAGUCUUCAGAGGACGUAUGUUCCUGAAGACUACAGCAGCUUGGUUGGAGUGAGUGAUCAGGGCCGGAGUCUGAUUCAGUCUAAAGAAUGGCUGUGUCUGUAGGGGGAGCUCCUUCAGCUCCAGGCGGACUCCGUGCUCGUGCUGUAUAAUUGGAGUGGUCAGCGCAGCGGGGAGGCACUGGUGACUUUCCCCAGCGAGAAGGCGGCGAGACAGGCCAUAGCUGAACGCUCCAAUCUUCCCUUUGCUGGUCAUCCCAUCCGCCUGAUCUGCUGCGAGUGACCAAACACGGACCGCAAAACCUACAGAGGGAGGACCGCACUUGAUCCGUCUCACCCCCUUUCUUCCUCAUUACCUGUCUUUGGCUUGCAGACAGUCCCUCUGUUUCUGACGCAAAGCAGUAGUUCAGGAGGGGACCUGACACAGAAACGCUGUAUAUAUGUUUAUAUAUACUCACAAGUGAAACAUCCAAGUAACAGUGCCUUGCUGCUUAUUCACAUGGUGUGUGUGUGUGCGUGUGCGUGUUUGUGUGUGUGUGCGCAUGCGCGUGAUUGACAGACAUAGAGAGCAAUUGUAUGCAUGCUUUACUCCGUUCGUUGUGUGUCUUUUGAUGUCAAGAAAUCUUCUAUCCUUAUUCAGGCCUGACUGUAUGUGUAUAACAAUGCCAGCCAUUAUCUUAUGGAACACAGACGUCAGCAGAAGUUCUUCCAGCAUUUAUAUUAUAUGUGUGUUAAUAUCAUUCCUGAAGCACUGGGCAGUGCAGAACACUUAGGCCUUCCUAGUCUUUGUCUUGUGCUAGGGAACGGAAACACAAUAAAAUACUUCAUACUGCUGUUACAGAAAAAAAGGAUUGUUUUGGAAGUGCAGUGUGAUUGUAAGAAGCCAAAUACUGUAGAUGCUAUAAAGACUGUAAUGCUGCAUAUGACUUAAAGAGGGCAUGAUGGGUUUUCUAAUGUACCUCUAAACUGUUGGACUGAAACAACCUUCAGAGCUGUUUCUUUAUUUAAUAGACCAAGUGUGGACUCCAUAGACUUAAAUGAACUGAUUUUUAGUUUAAUCCAGUUGAAAAGGGAACUUUUUAUUUAAAGAGAAAGAUAAGUUGUUUGUGUGAUCUGCAUGCUUGUUCUUUAUAGAAAGAGGUGUGUAUUCUGUUGCCCCCAUGAGAGAUUAUGUGCAGUCUGAACCACGCCGUGGCCUCGCCUUGUUUUGGACUUGCAAGAAAAUGCAAUCUACUUCAGUUCUUUUCUACUGAUAUCAGGCUGAAUCACAAUCUUUUUCUUUCACGACUACAUUACCCAGAGUGCAAUACAGGCUGAACAAACUGGCACACCUCUCUAGUGAAAGAGGGGGACGUUUUUUUUGUUUUCUGAAAUGUGUAUGUUUGUGUAUGUGUGACUCUUAUAUGCAACCAAUAAAUUGAUAUUGCUCUGACAUAAGCAUAUCAAAUCUUG